UCCCAAGACAGCCUGAAAGCCACUAUUACCUGGCCCUGUCCUUGCUGAGUCUAACAGAAUCUUAGAAUGUACAGGGUAUUCCUUAGAAUUCAAGGCUCGUCCAUUCCAGCACCCCCAGCACCCAUACCUGGGAGAUGUAGGUGUCCUACCUAGGUUGCCCCACCCUACCCCAAGUACUUGAGACCCAGGGAAAAGCCCCUGGCUCUGGACUCUAAGCAGUGGUUCUCAGGGCUGGAGCUAGACCCAGCGUGGGAUCAGGGUGCAACCUACUGGGCUUAGUCAAAGCCUGUGCCUGCUUCCAGUAUGUAGUGUGCACCACACCAGCGGCGAGGGGCCCCGUCACGUAGAGGGACAUAGCCCCUCAGCUUCGGAAGAGCGGCAGACCCUACCCUAGCCAUCCCCCGAGGGGAGUUGUUCUGGAUGGCGCGGGGGCGGGCGGGCAGGCAGGCUAGCUCUAGUCUAGGAACAUAGGGGCUGAGCUGGUGGGGAAGCCCCGGGUUACGCGACCGACCAGAGCCGCACUCACAAGGGCCCAGGCGGUACAGACCGCAAUGGAGGCACGGCUGCUGCGGGGCUGCGUGGUGGAGGUGAGUGGGGUCGCCGGGAGGCCAGGAAACUGUCCAGAACCUGACCUGUAGCCCUGGAACAAAGCCUCCGGGGAGGGUCUGGGGGAGCCUCUCAACUCCGACCUCCCUGCGGGCUGGGUAGUCUUCACCGGCGACCUAGUUAGAGGCUCGGGCGCGCCCUUCCGCUGAGAGGAAGCACAAGCUCCCGGGGAAAGGGGUCUGGGGGCCUCCACUUCUCAGAAGGCAUGGCUGCGUGGAGGGGAAAUGGGCCAGAGGCUGCUGGCAGGGGGCCUCCUCUGCUGUACACAAGCUGGUUUUGUAGACAGUGAGAGGGAAGCUGAUCCCAGUCCCCUAACCCUGUUCUGCCCAGGAGCCUGAGAACUGAGCUUACUCGGGCAAAUGCUAGGGCUUCAGAAAUGGAGGAGCUGCCUAGGAGGGAGAGGUCACCUCCUGGGGCAGCCACACCAGGGUCAACUGCACGUGUUCUCCAGCCUCUGUUCCUACCACUGCUGCUGCUGCUGCUGCUGCUGCUUGGUGGCCAGGGCCAGGGCGGCAUGUCUGGCAGGUGUGACUGUGCCAGUGAGUCCCAGAAGAGGUAUGGCCCGUUUUGUUGCAGGGGCUGCCCAAAGGGACACUACAUGAAGGCCCCCUGCGCAGAACCCUGUGGCAACUCCACCUGCCUUCCCUGUCCCUCGGACACCUUCUUGACCAGAGACAACCACUUUAAGACUGACUGUACCCGCUGCCAAGUCUGUGAUGAAGAGGCCCUUCAAGUGACCCUUGAGAACUGCUCGGCAAAGUCGGACACCCACUGUGGCUGCCAGUCAGGCUGGUGUGUUGACUGCUCCACCGAGCCAUGUGGGAAAAGCUCACCUUUCUCUUGUGUCCCAUGCGGGGCUACAACACCAGUCCAUGAGGCUCCAACCCCCCGGCCCUGCCUGCCUGGCUUCUAUAUACGUGGCAAUGACUGCACGUCCUGCCCCACGGGCUUCAGCAGCGUUUGCCCUAAGGCUUGCACUGCUGUCUGUGGCUGGAAGCAGAGUAGUGUUUUGGGUCCAGGUGCUUCUAGGAGUCGCGUUCCUUUUUGGGGCUAUCCUGAUCUGUGCAUAUUGUCGAUGGCAGCCUUGUAAGGCCGUGGUCACUGCAGACACAGCUGGGACGGAGACCCUGGCCUCACCACAGACUGCCCAUCUCUCAGCCUCAGACAGCGCCCACACCCUCCUGGCACCUCCAAGCAGUACUGGGAAAAUCUGUACCACUGUCCAGUUGGUAGGCAACAACUGGACCCCUGGCUUAUCCCAGACUCAGGAGGUGGUCUGCGGACAGGCCUCACAACCCUGGGAUCAGCUGCCAAACAGAACUCUUGGAACUCCUCUGGCAUCUCCGCUCUCGCCAGCGCCCCCUGCGGGCUCUCCGGCUGCUGUGCUCCAGCCUGGCCCGCAGCUCUACGAUGUGAUGGAUGCGGUCCCAGCACGAAGGUGGAAGGAGUUCGUGCGCACGCUGGGGCUGCGGGAAGCGGAAAUUGAAGCCGUGGAGGUGGAAAUCUGCCGCUUCCGAGACCAGCAGUAUGAGAUGCUCAAGCGCUGGCGUCAGCAGCAGCCUGCAGGCCUCGGUGCCAUCUAUGCGGCUCUGGAGCGCAUGGGUCUGGAAGGCUGUGCCGAGGACCUGCGCAGCCGCCUGCAGCGUGGCCCGUGAUGGAAGGUCCAUCAGCCACUUUGACACCCUAGUGACCCUUGAAGGAGCCUUAAGUAUUGUUACUUAUGCGUGUAGACAUUUUAUGUCAAUUACUAACCCCCUGCCGUGGUCCUGCGUAGCAGGGCUGGCUGCCUCACUUUUGCUUAUCUGCAGCACGGAGCUCCUGCUAAGGGAAGCGUCAUGGAGAAAUACCAGAAGGGGCCAAGUGAUUGGUUGCUCAGCUGUUAAUUAGCCCGAGUUUGGACUUGGUAUUAAAUUUCGUAAGAAAAGCA